CAUUAGAAAGUUAAUUAUAUCAUUGAAAUAAUCAUUUUUGAGUGCAUAAUAAUGUUAAUUUUGCAGAAAUUACAUAAAAUUAUGCCCUCAGAAACAAUUGAGAUCACUUUUAAUUAGCAAAAGAUCUCAUAAACUCAAAAGCAGAAGUAGAGAAAGUGAAGGGAGUAACACAAUGGAUAUCCAUAGGGAGAAAAAUUGCAAUUUCUAUUUAUACAAACGUUUUAAUUGCUUAUUUUUUUAUUUGUAUAGAAGAAAGUGAAGUGAAAGAAUUCUUUUCGAGCUCUUCUGCUGCUAAACACUUGGAAAAAAUUGGUGAUUCCAAGCGUGGAAUCCAAUCAACUCCUUCUCUUCUUCGGUUAACCGCAUCUAACCAACUUAUUGCUAGAUGACGGAUUUCUCUCUUAUUUUUUAUUGUAGACACGAUCAGAUAGAUAGAGAAAUCACAUGACCAGAUGUGAAGAGUCCUAGAAGAUGCUGCAGGAUGUCAUCUAUGUUAUCAGCAUCACAAGAGGAGAAAUUUCUACAAGAACUUUUAGAUUUUAAUGCUAAGAAUUGACAGAAACUCGAAUGAAGAGAAAGAGACGUAGGAAGUCGUUCAAAUAUGCAGUAGAUGCAAAGUAAUAAACGUAGGGAAUCGUUUAAGGAUAGGAAAGACUCAAGAAAUGCAUAGAAUAAAGAGCAAGAAACGCAGGGAAUGGUUUAAAGAUGCAGAGCAAGACCCAUAGGAAAGCCCUUAAAGAUAGAGAUGAAGAAAAUGCACAGAAUCAUUUAAAGAUGUAAACUGAAGGAUAAUUAUUUAAUGAGAAAAAAGAUCACUUGCGUACAAAGAAGUAGAAAAUUCUAAAAAAUUUUAACGAAAAUAUCACUAACAAGUAUAAAAAAUACACAUACAAUAUUAGAGAUGCGAAUGAUGCAAAAUAUUCCUCUUUCAUCUCCUGCAUCUUCCACAUCUCUAGCAUCUUAAAUAUAAAAUUUUAAAUGAAGAUGCGGAUAUUUUCAUAAAGAAAACGAUCGAUUAUAUAUAUAUAUAUAUAAAGUCUUUAAAUAUAAGUAGAGUGAAGAGAAAGAAAGUAAGAAAGGAAAUCUUAUUUCUACUCUUUCCAUCAUCUCCCAUCCUUCUCUCACCUCACCAGAUUUUAAAAAUUCAUGUUG